UACGUAGGGGGCUAGCGUUGUCCGGAAUCAUUGGCGUAAAGCGCGUGUAGGCGGUCCGGUAAGCCGCUGUGAAAGUCGGGGGGUCAACCCUCGAUGCCGGUGGAUACUGUCGGGCUUGAGUACGGAAGAGGCGAGUGGAAUUCCUGGUGUAGCGGUGAAAUGCGCAGAUAUCAGGAGGAACACCAAUUGCGAAGGCAGCUCGCUGGGGACGUUACUGACGCUGAGA
rnacentral:rRNA from 1 species